rnacentral:rRNA from 1 species
UACGUAGGGGGCAAGCGUUGUCCGGAAUCAUUGGGCGUAAAGCGCGUGUAGGCGGCUAGGUAAGUCUGCUCUGAAAGCCCGGGGCUCAACCCCGGGAGGCGGGUGGAUACUGUCUAGCUCGAGUCCGGAAGAGGAGUGUGGAAUUCCUGGUGUAGCGGUGAAAUGCGCAGAUAUCAGGAGGAACACCGAUGGCGAAGGCAGCUCGCUGGGACGGUACUGACGCUGAGGCGCGAAAGCGUGGGGAGCAAACAGG